CUAUUCAGCUCAACUCGGGCGUAAUUAAGCCAGCGGCACCUAGUCGAACAAACACUUCCGCGCAUGCGUAAUACAAUAAUGGUGAUGUUCUUAACUGUUAUAUUGGAAUGUAAAUAUGUUUGCAAAUUGUUUUUGUUACAUGUUAUUCUGUGUUCUGAAUACUUUUAUUUUAAUAAAUGUUGCUUAC